UGCCCGAUGGUGUAACGGUAGCACAGCAGACUCUGGAUCUGUUUGUCAUGGUUCAAAUCCAUGUCGGGCAGCCA
rnacentral:tRNA from 8 species